GUAGUCGUGGCCGAGUAGUUAAGGCGAUGGACUUAAAAUCCGUUGGGGUUUCUCUGUGCAGGUUCAUGUCCUGCUGACUACA